rnacentral:lncRNA from 1 species
UGAAGUUGGAGUGCAGUGGCCUGAUGAGCUCUGUGUCAGCUAUGUGUCUCCCUCGGUGUGGAAGAAAAUUUCCAGAGACUUGGUGAAGAUAGGAAAGCUAUCAAAAAGACCAUAGGACUAUUGUACUGUAAGUAUUGCUUUGAAAAAGAACUGUAAAUUAAGAAUAUUUUAAGUAUCCAGUUGUUUUGGGGAAAUAUGUUAGGCAGAGAUAUUAUAUGUAAAAUGUAGAGGAGG